rnacentral:rRNA from 1 species
GAUGAACGCUAGCGGCAGGCCUAAUACAUGCAAGUCGAGGGGCAGCAGGAAUAGCAAUAUUUGCUGGCGACCGGCGCACGGGUGCGUAACACGUAUACAAUCUACCUUUAACUGGGGGAUAGCCCGGAGAAAUCCGGAUUAAUACCCCAUAACAGUAGGAGAGGCAUCUCUCUUAUUUGAAAGUUCCGACGGUUAGAGAUGAGUAUGCGCCUGAUUAGUUUGUUGGUGAGGUAACGGCUCACCAAGACUACGAUCAGUAGGGGAUCUGAGGGGAUUAACCCCCACACGGAUACUGAGACACGGAUCCGACUCCUACGGGAGGCAGCAGUAAGGAAUAUUGGACAAUGGGCGCAAGCCUGAUCCAGCCAUGCCGCGUGCAGGAAGAAGGCCCUAUGGGUCGUAAACUGCUUUUACACCGGAGAAAACCCCCUUUCGUGAAAGGGGCUGAUAGUAUGAUGAGAAUAAGCAUCGGCUAACUUCGUGCCAGCAGCCGCGGUAA